GGUUAAGCGACUAAGCGUACACGGUGGAUGCCCUGGCAGUCAGAGGCGAUGAAGGACGUGCUAAUCUGCGAAAAGCGUCGGUAAGGUGAUAUGAACCGUUAUAACCGGCGAUGUCCGAAUGGGGAAACCCAGUGUGAUUCGUCACACUAUCGUUAACUGAAUACAUAGGUUAACGAGGCGAACCGGGGGAACUGAAACAUCUAAGUACCCCGAGGAAAAGAAAUCAACCGAGAUUCCCCCAGUAGCGGCGAGCGAACGGGGAGCAGCCCAGAGUCUGAAUCAGCUUGUGUGUUAGUGGAACGGUCUGGAAAGUCCGACGGUACAGGGUGAUAGUCCCGUACACCAAAAUGCACAGGUUGUGAACUCGAAGAGUAGGGCGGGACACGUGGUAUCCUGUCUGAAUAUGGGGGGACCAUCCUCCAAGGCUAAAUACUCCUGACUGACCGAUAGUGAACCAGUACCGUGAGGGAAAGGCGAAAAGAACCCCGGCGAGGGGAGUGAAAAAGAACCUGAAACCGUGUACGUACAAGCAGUGGGAGCACCUUCGGGUGUGACUGCGUACCUUUUGUAUAAUGGGUCAGCGACUUAUAUUCUGUAGCAAGGUUAACCGUAUAGGGGAGCCGCAGGGAAACCGAGUCUUAACUGGGCGUUAAGUUGCAGGGUAUAGACCCGAAACCCGGUGAUCUAGCCAUGGGCAGGUUGAAGGUUGGGUAACACUAACUGGAGGACCGAACCGACUAAUGUUGAAAAAUUAGCGGAUGACUUGUGGCUGGGGGUGAAAGGCCAAUCAAACCGGGAGAUAGCUGGUUCUCCCCGAAAGCUAUUUAGGUAGCGCCUCGUGAAUUCAUCUUCGGGGGUAGAGCACUGUUUCGGCUAGGGGGUCAUCCCGACUUACCAACCCGAUGCAAACUACGAAUACCGAAGAAUGUUAUCACGGGAGACACACGGCGGGUGCUAACGUCCGUCGUGAAGAGGGAAACAACCCAGACCGCCAGCUAAGGUCCCAAAGUCAUGGUUAAGUGGGAAACGAUGUGGGAAGGCACAGACAGCCAGGAUGUUGGCUUAGAAGCAGCCAUCAUUUAAAGAAAGCGUAAUAGCUCACUGGUCGAGUCGGCCUGCGCGGAAGAUGUAACGGGGCUAAACCAUGCACCGAAGCUGCGGCAGCGACACUAUGUGUUGUUGGGUAGGGGAGCGUUCUGUAAGCCUGCGAAGGUGUGCUGUGAGGCAUGCUGGAGGUAUCAGAAGUGCGAAUGCUGACAUAAGUAACGAUAAAGCGGGUGAAAAGCCCGCUCGCCGGAAGACCAAGGGUUCCUGUCCAACGUUAAUCGGGGCAGGGUGAGUCGACCCCUAAGGCGAGGCCGAAAGGCGUAGUCGAUGGGAAACAGGUUAAUAUUCCUGUACUUGGUGUUACUGCGAAGGGGGGACGGAGAAGGCUAUGUUAGCCGGGCGACGGUUGUCCCGGUUUAAGCAUGUAGGCUGGUUAUCCAGGCAAAUCCGGAUAAUCAAGGCUGAGGUGUGAUGACGAGGCACUACGGUGCUGAAGUAACAAAUGCCCUGCUUCCAGGAAAAGCCUCUAAGCAUCAGGUAACAUCAAAUCGUACCCCAAACCGACACAGGUGGUCAGGUAGAGAAUACCAAGGCGCUUGAGAGAACUCGGGUGAAGGAACUAGGCAAAAUGGUGCCGUAACUUCGGGAGAAGGCACGCUGGUGUGUAGGUGAAGUCCCUGCGGAUGGAGCUGAGACCAGUCGAAGAUACCAGCUGGCUGCAACUGUUUAUUAAAAACACAGCACUGUGCAAACACGAAAGUGGACGUAUACGGUGUGACGCCUGCCCGGUGCCGGAAGGUUAAUUGAUGGGGUUAUCCGUAAGGAGAAGCUCUUGAUCGAAGCCCCGGUAAACGGCGGCCGUAACUAUAACGGUCCUAAGGUAGCGAAAUUCCUUGUCGGGUAAGUUCCGACCUGCACGAAUGGCGUAAUGAUGGCCAGGCUGUCUCCACCCGAGACUCAGUGAAAUUGAACUCGCUGUGAAGAUGCAGUGUACCCGCGGCAAGACGGAAAGACCCCGUGAACCUUUACUAUAGCUUGACACUGAACAUUGAGCCUUGAUGUGUAGGAUAGGUGGGAGGCUUUGAAGCGUGGACGCCAGUCUGCGUGGAGCCAACCUUGAAAUACCACCCUUUAAUGUUUGAUGUUCUAACGUUGGCCCCUGACCGGGGUUGCGGACAGUGUCUGGUGGGUAGUUUGACUGGGGCGGUCUCCUCCCAAAGCGUAACGGAGGAGCACGAAGGUUAGCUAAUCCUGGUCGGACAUCAGGAGGUUAGUGCAAUGGCAUAAGCUAGCUUGACUGCGAGCGUGACGGCGCGAGCAGGUGCGAAAGCAGGUCAUAGUGAUCCGGUGGUUCUGAAUGGAAGGGCCAUCGCUCAACGGAUAAAAGGUACUCCGGGGAUAACAGGCUGAUACCGCCCAAGAGUUCAUAUCGACGGCGGUGUUUGGCACCUCGAUGUCGGCUCAUCACAUCCUGGGGCUGAAGUAGGUCCCAAGGGUAUGGCUGUUCGCCAUUUAAAGUGGUACGCGAGCUGGGUUUAGAACGUCGUGAGACAGUUCGGUCCCUAUCUGCCGUGGGCGCUGGAGAAUUGAGGGGGGCUGCUCCUAGUACGAGAGGACCGGAGUGGACGCAUCACUGGUGUUCGGGUUGUCAUGCCAAUGGCACUGCCCGGUAGCUAAAUGCGGAAGAGAUAAGUGCUGAAAGCAUCUAAGCACGAAACUUGCCCCGAGAUGAGUUCUCCCUGAGACUUUAAGUCUCCUGAAGGAACGUUGAAGACGACGACGUUGAUAGGCCGGGUGUGUAAGCGCAGCGAUGCGUUGAGCUAACCGGUACUAAUGAACCGUGAGGCUUAACCUU
rnacentral:rRNA from 2 species